rnacentral:SRP_RNA from 1 species
GACCAGCGGCUGUUUCGCAGUGGAAGGAUUACGCGGCGGAGCGGUUCAAGUCCGCGUGGGGCGAUUU